GAGCUGCAGCUGGGCUGGGCAGGGGCAGGAGGGCAGAGCAGGGACUGUCCCCGGUCGCGGCUCCGCUCUGCGGGGGCUGCUCCGGGGGCAGGGCACACACACAGAGCCCCUUCGGGCAGGGAACAGGAUAGACAGAUCCCGUCUCCAGGCUGUUCCAGGGGUCCCCGGGCUGCUCAGCUUCUCGGACACAUCUCCGUGCUCUUCAUCUCGCUCCCGUUGGGAUGCGACAAACACAGAGAGAAACGCGGGGACAGCCCCGGGGAGCCGUCCUUGCCCAGCUGCCACGGGCCGGCCCAUCAGGGCACAAACACAACCCAGGUGCCCGGAGUUACCCGAGAGCCUCAGAGGAUCCAGCUGUGCCCCUCUGCCCCCAGGGCAGGGUAUUUAUGGUGCCUCUGCCCGGGGAGCCAGCCACAGCGAGCCUGUGAUCCUGCGCCUUUCCCGUCGGGAAGCUGCAGCCGGAGCUGCAGGAGCCGCGUUACCUUCGGCAGAGGCUCUGUCCAUGAAGCACCGUGCGCGCCCAGGACAGGAUUUAUGGAUUGAGCCUUCCCGGCUGCGGCGGCUCCGGCGCCGGGCCCGCGGCGCAAGUUCAAGGCCUCUCGGAGCAAUCUUUUCCUAAUAAAGAGUCUAAUCGAAACGCUCCUUCCCCCGCCUCGGCGGGAAGGGCCGCGGAAGAGGCUGCGGAGGUGCAGAGCCGCCGCGGAUCGAUGGAGAGAAGCCCGGAUUGAUCGGCCUCUAAAAUUAAAUUUAUUGGGGUCAUGGUUUUAUAUGGUGCUGAUACAACUGUUAAAUGGGGAACAUUCAUUUCCAAUAGGAGGCGUUUAUUAAACUUCCACUGAAUUAGACCGCCGUGAUUUAUGUGGCAAUCUCGGCUCAGCCCUCCAGGAGCGCGGGGCCUUCCGCGCCCGCCACGCGUGAUUAUUUAUUUAUACACCCGUGACACGGCUCCCUAAGUUUUAACCUAAAUUAUCCACCGGCUUCUUCUGCC